UGGAAUGGGUAAAUUCUUUAUAGUGUCUGAGUAGCGAGAGACGGUUUUCUUUCUUUAUUUUUGCUUUUGCAUAUUAAAAACCUAUUUUUCAGUGGUCAAAACAUUUAUUAUCAUAGUAUCAAGUUCCCUGACAAAAAUAAAUGAACUAAUAGCGUAUUUCGCGUAAGCGGACAUAUUUCAGUAAAUUGGUCAAAUGAAUGUAAAUAAUAAAACAAUAAGAGACGAUUGUUAAGUGAUUUUUCCGCCCACUAGAUAUUCGGGAAGCAUUAUGCAUGUAGUGAGACGCGGCGGGUGAUAGAAGAGACUAUCGUGAAAUGUCGGGUGAUGGAGAUCGUGCAGUGCGGCCCAACUCUCUGCUGCUGGAGACCCCGCCGCCAGAGCGGGAGCCACUACACUUCGAUGUGCAGCUCGUUGGCGCGCCGCCGGAAGUGGAACAAUUGGUAAACAACAUCAAGCAGGUGGCUGAAGACUUUUUGUACCACUGGAAGACUUUCCCUAUUGUACUACCACCAUCUCGUUUUACUGGCGCCGGUAACCGUCCCUCAGAUAUUAUCGUAGCCCCGCCGUGUGAUGAGAUAGAUGCGGCUGCGCUAGACGCGGGCGUCGAGCCUCAGCCUCUUUCCCCAAAGCAACUGCACUCCAUAAGAGAGAAAGGUGAGUUCGAGGUGCCGUCGCGGCAUUUUCCGGGCCAGACGCACGUAUGGCGCGUGAGCGGGUGGCUGCAGCGCGGGCGUGCGCGUGCGCGUGAGGAGCUCUACCGGCACGUGGCGCGGGCCGUCGCGUUACUUGUUGUGGUGGCCCGCGACCGACUGCUCAGAGAUCAGCCGCUAUCGGUUCGGGCAGGGAUUAAUUCUCUCAUUUAUGGGUUGCACAGAUUACUAGACCUAAUAUUUGGUAUGCCGUCGAUGGUGGCUCGAGAUCUAGAGAAGAAAAUACGAGAGGAGAGAUCACGAUAUUUAGUCGCUGAAUUGAUUUGUAAGGCGGAGCAGGCGGGGUGGGCGCGCGCGCUGGCGGCGUGGGUGAUGCGCAGCGUGCGGCGCCGGCCCGCCGACAAGCGCGACCAUCCGCCGCUGCCGUGUCUCUACACCACGCCGCAGGGCACGCAUGUGGAUUUACGCCUCUAUCGGCGAGAGUUGUUGCGUCGCGCUGCGCCAAUCCUUCAAACGUUACUGGAGCGGGAGUCGCGCGGGUGGUUCUUGCACUUUAGAGAACGACAAGCGGCCAACUUGGCUAAAGAGAAGAUGCCCGUUAAGGAUAUUGAAGAGGAGGUGCGCGAGGCGGCGAUGCGCGAGUACGUGUCGCGCGUGUGCAGCGCCGUGCAGGCCAGCGCGCAGCUGCAGGAGCUCGGCGCCGACGUGCCCGACCUGCUCGUCGCACAGCUGCGGGCCUUCGUCAUUGUUAACAGGGCUGAAGAAGGCGUUCGGCGUAAGUUAGAAGCAGGCUUGGCUACCGCCGAGGCUCGAAUACGCGCCUCCCACCCGAUUCUCUCGAGAGCGGAUGCGUGGCGUAAAGAAAAAUUAACAGCCGCGGCACACCGACUCAACAGCGAACUGCGAUGGACUGCUAUGGAGGAUGCCGCCGCCGCAAUGCAGGCGCACAAGCUGCACCAGCACAGAUACUUUCUUUUGCGGGAUUUGGCUUUUCUUAGGGACCGAGAACCACUGCUUACUAAGGAGUUGCGCGCGGCGAAAAGUCCAACGCGUGAGUUCGAAUGGGCGCGUCGCAUCUGGGUGCCGCGGCGCUGGGUGGUGCUGCGGCAGUGGCGCGGGCGCGCCGAGCGCGUGCCCACCGUGCUGGGCGCGGGCGCCGGCUGCGGCCCGCCCGCGCCCGCGCCCGGCACCAUCACGCCGCGCACCGACGCCGCGCAGCCCGUCUACCUCGUGCGCCGCCACGUCGUGCACGUCACCUCCACGCGCUGGCCCGCCUGGCGACUGCUCAACUUGGCGCACAGAAUUUGGUGUUGGAGUUGGAAUAUGAUGUUUGUGCUUGGAGUGUUGGUGCCGUGGUGCUCGCCGGUGUCGCUGCGAACUUUGCUUUGCGUCAAGCCCUUCAUUCCAGACUUAGAACUCUCGCAGGUCAACGGUGCACUUUAUCCAAAACGUAGUAAAGAAACGCAAACGAUGUGGUCGCGGUUGCUGGCGCUAUGGCGACAUGUAUCAAAGGAACGGACGCGUUUCGAGACCGAACCUGAUACCGGUCUACUAGGUAAAGGUUUAAGUCGUCAAGCAAACCGUAUAUGGAACUACGGCAUCGUCGGCGGGCUGGGGUCGGCGGCGCUGCUGCUGCUGUUCCCGCUGGUGAGCGGCGCCGUGAGCUGCGCGGCGCUGGCGGCCGCCGUCACCGUGCCGCUCUGGACGCCGCCGCUCGCGUUAGCGUUACACGCUGCCGCCGCUCUACUGUACGAUAUAGACUGUCCGGAUCCCGACGUGCAUAACAGAUGGUUUCCGCUGGUGGACGCAGUAGUAUGGCGCAUAGGAGUCUUGGGUGUUUUGCAAGUCGUAAUAGCGCUUCUAGUUGCGCUCGUGCUCUGUCCAAUAUUCUCCUUACUGUUGCUGGCAGGUGGCGCGGCGGCGUGGGCGGCGCGCGGCGCGUGGGAGGCGGCGGCGUGGCGCGCGCUCAUAGUGCGGGCGGCGCGCGUCCCGGCGCACGACUCUGCCUUCUGCCGGCGCGUGCGCGGGCCCGGCCUUCACGCGCCCACUUACUACCAGAUAUCGUGCGCGCAGGCAGUAGCAGCGGUGGUGGCUCGCGCUGAGCUAGAGGUUCUGUCUGCGUGGGCGGCCGACACUGAACGAGCCAUUGAGCGACCACUGCGCGACUACGAACACUUCGUGCAUGCUUGCUUCGGCCCUUUCUCCGUGCAGAUAGCAAAGACCGGUUCGUACAGGCAGGUGGAACGUGAGUGCACAGAGUUGGUGCAGUCAGUGCGAGAGAAGCUGCGCGCACGCCGGAGAGAGCUCUCACUGUCGCUGCCGGACACCGCGCGUGCACGCGUGCGCCUUGCAGCGCCAGACCUUACGCGUACGAUCGAGGCGGCGGCGGCGGAGUUGAGUGGCGUGUGGCGCCACGCGUCGCGUGCCGACGACUGGUGGACGCAGCGCGGCCUCGAGCGCGGACACUGGCGCGCGCUCGCCGCUAACACGCUCGUCGAGGUGUUCGACGCGGAGGUGGUGGUGCCCCUGCAGGACGGCGAGGCGCGGCUGGCACUGGAGGGCGGCGAGGCGGUGCGGUCGUGGGCCACGCGGUGCGGCGCCGCGCCCCCCGACGUGCUGCCCGCGCUCUGCGCCCCGCCGCCGCCUGACCACGACGACGCCGCGCGCUACCUGUGGUGCGAGUGGGGCAGCACGCCGGCGCUGCGCGUGGCGGCGCCCGCGCUGGACGCGGCGGCGUUCAGCCCGCGCGCGCCGCUGCACCCGCCCGUGCCGCACCCCGCCACCGUCGCGCUCGUCCUGCACAACCGGGACUCUGACAAUCCUGUGCCUUUAGAGUCUGAUCUGUACGCAGAAAUCUUGAAAAGCUUAGAAGACGCGCCUGACUGUACUGAACAACAAGAGGACGCAGAGCGGUAUCGCGGUGGGGGCGGCACCGAGGGCUCCAGCUCCGAUGGCAGUGUAGAGGAUGAAGAUGAUGCCAGGAGAGACCGAAGAGACUUCGAAGAGGAGGGUUUAUGCCGCGUGUCUCCGCGGCGGGAGCGCGCGGCGUGUCGCUGGACGCUGACGGGGCGCGGCGUGCGCCUGCGCGCAGACCUCGCCAGUCCCGAGGACGUCACCCUCGACGCAGACGGCGUGCACUCCGGCACCUCCGUCUGAAACACACAACGACACGAUGCUAUACUACGCUACUGCCUACCAUCCACGGGUGCCACCGACAGAAUGAAAUUGAACGAAUCUGAAUGCGCUUUUUGAAGAUAGUUAUUACUGAACCAACUGUCUUGGUCUAUGCUCAGGCUUUCAAUAUGCAGGAGGUAUGCUUUAACUCUUAUGCAGUACCUAUUCAACGUACGUUGUCUAUGCACAAUUCAUUAGAACUAAUAUUGACUUAGAAUAAUUUGUGUUUUGAGAUGCAAUGUGUGUCCAUGCAGGAGCUUGAAUAUAAAGCAAAAUGAUUCUAAAUUUCAUGUAUAGAAAUCGGCAUAGGUUACACUGUGAUAAUACUCCCUGCUUUGGUGACAUAUAUAGAUAUUCUUUUGUUAGUAUAAUUUACAAUAAUCUCUCACAAGUUUGGCUAAGCACAUACAAAUACGAUAGUCAACAUAACACUGCAUAAAGCUUUACAAAUUGUCAAAUUACAGAAUACGAAUAAGAUGAAUAAUUGAAAACAACUUUAACACCCUUUAUGAAGUCUAAUUAACACGUAUUUAAACAUUUCAGUUCCUUUAAUAACACAAUGUGUAAAAGGAACCGCAGAGGAAUCUCAAAGGGCGCGCGCGCUCUCGUUUGUGUUUGGGUGUGUGUGUGUGUGUGUUUAUGCGCACGUGUGCGCGUGUUUAUGUGUGUGUAUAAACUUGUCGUUAAAAUAACCUUACCUCGGUAUAAGUGCAAUUCAAUUGGAACAACGAUAACUGAAUUUAGUAUAGUGAAGGACUCUGCAUUAACAAGUAUAGAUUUUUUGUGUGCGUUUAUAUGUUUUGCGUUGUAUGAAUUGGAAAGUAGAUAAUUUAAGUAAAUAGCUUGCAUAAUAACCGUAUUGUCGCGUUUAUUAUAGUGAAAUAUGCGUAACAUGGUGAAACAGGAGAAUUAUUGUUCCGUUAGUCAAAAAUCCCAUUUAUGGACAAAACUUAAAAUUGAUGGCUGUCUUCUCAUUACCCUACAAUUUGAUUAUAAUGUGGGAGCAUUUAGAGUACAAAACAAAUAACUCUGCACGGGACUCGCGUUAAAUUAAUUUCAUAUAAUGUUUAAUGUUUUUAAGAAAGUGGGAAUAUGGCGAAAUUGGAUUGAACUGUAGUAAUGACUAAGGGGCACUGGAUAUUGCACUGUUGUCAAUGCUGUUAAUUGCAUUAUUGGGUUGUUGUCUUAUAAAAGAGUAUUUUUAUGUGGUGGUAUACAAUGUGUCUGACAACAAUACAAAUAUUUUAUGACUCAAAAUGUGGUAUGGAAUUUGCUUUAAAUAAAAAUCAAAUAUAAACCGUAUCAUGAUAUAUAUGUUGCGUAUUAGCUUAUAACCUAUAAUUCGGUAUACCGAAUUCGGUACCUAAUUAUACGUUAUUAUGUAUAGAUAGGAACAAGUACAUGAAUAAAGUAGCUUGCAAAAGCUAAUUGAAAAGUGUGAGUACGCACAUAAUAUUCACGGAAUGAAGCAUUUGCCAAUUUAACAUUAUAACCUUGAAUUUUACUUGUAGAAUUUUAACUUUUAUAGAGAUAGAUUGAAAUUAUUAGAAUAUUUUUUCAUAAUAUGUUGAUUGGUUUAUUGCUAUACCAACAUGUCGUGACUGUGGCAUUUAUUCGAGUUAUUUCUUAGAUAUCUUCAUGCUUUAUCAAAAUCAAUAAGUGACCCUCCACCAACAUUUUUUAUUAUGUGUUAUAUUAGACUAUAUUCUUAAAAGGCAACUAGUUACCUCUAGUCUGAGUUUACAAAUUUUUAUUUUAUAUUUCACUUUGAGUGAACUUUUGGAUUUUAACCUCUGAUUUGAAAUUAUUGGAAGCAAAAAAUCGUUGAGAUUAUAAAACUAUGAAUGAAAGAGCUGACUAAAGUGUUCGUGCCCAGUUGAAGCAAUCGGCACUACGCUGGAAAUAGGAAUGAUGUAUGUAUAUACGUAAUAUAUAUUUUUAAUAAAACAAUAUUUAGGGAUUUUCAUUUUGAAACGAUAAUAUAAAAAAGUUAUUCCAUCAUGACCUAAAAGUAUAAUAGCACUCGUCUAUAGACACCAAACUACCCCGUCAGAGAGUAGGGUAUAAAAAAUUGGUGAAUACAGGCAAAUUUGUAGUCACGGCCAGCGCGCGAAUAAUGUGGGUCAAUGUUCAGUACAGUAUCAGUAGAUUGAUGAAUACAAUUUACGAAACCCAACUAACAAAAGUAACACUUGCCAACGGACUCCAUAGUACCCGAAUGCUAUAGUGUUGACGCUUGUCAGUCACGAAAAAAUCAACAUACUCGCACUAUGAAACACAUUUAGAAAGUAAUAAUGCUAGACUUGUUAAAAAUGCUUACUCCAUAGUCCAUAGCAUAGAUGUCUAUUUAUCUACUGAAUUUUGAUGCGAAAUGGCGUUGCUCCGGUACUGCGUACGCGAAUAUACGGCGGACAUAAAGUACGGUUAUCGGUAUAAAAGAUGUUAUAAGUGCAGAGAUGGGAGUUAUAGAUUGUUUGUUGUAAUAAUAUUUUACCACGUGCGCAUAGCAUUGGCCAAUUUAUUAAAUAAGAUAAAAAGCUAAAAUAUACGCUUUAAGCGUCGGCACAAAAAAAUAUUUUGUCCGAAAUGUAUAACGCACUUGGUGAUAAGUCUAAUCUACAAAGGCCAAAGUCGCCCAAUCUACGUUUAAUUCAAAAAUGAGCGAGAAUUAUGUUUCUUGCAAGAAAUUUAUUUCCAAAAAUUACACUUCCUAUAAAAUAAAAUAUAUACAUGCAAAAUUAUACAUUACUAUUAAUACCAUGCUUAACUUUGCAUGUAUACUAAAUUUAUACAUGCAAAAUUAAUGCACAAGACUUAGGCCGUUCUUAUUCUUGUUUCAUUAUUAAUAUUUGGUUCAUCAUAAAUAAUAUUUGGUUAACUUACUUGUCAAAAAGUUUAGCUAAAAUAUCCAAUGUUAGGCCUAACUUUCAAAAAUCAAUUUAACUAUACACAACGAAUCUCAUUAAUUCUCGAUGCUUAAACCUUCGCUUAUUAACCGCACACAAGUUCCAAAGAAUACAACAGUCACUUAUUACAAAGAUAAUAUUAAAUACUCAUUUAUAUUAAGAGAUUAGAAAUAAAAAAUAUAUUUAUUGUAAAAUAAAACUAAUAGUGCCUAGAAUAGACGUUGUGGCGAGCUAUAGUAAUGUACAUAAUAUAUAGUAGCAUGGCCAGUCGCAGUAGAUUAAAUAUUAUAUUUAUGAAAUGUGUUAUAUUCAAAGGCAGAAAUGAACACUGAAGUAAAUUUAAAAAUAAGUACCAUAAAAAUACAUGCCAAAGUAAAACAACUGUCGAAUUUAGGUUCACAUCCAUAUCCUCAUUCUGUAGCUUUGUUGUCAAACCGAAAAUGAGUUUUGAUUUACCGCUUUCGAUCGAAUUAUUAUUUAACUUAAACGUUUUAGGUUACCGAUUGCGGAUCGACAUAUUUAAACCAUUUAUUUUUCUACACACACAUAAAUACAACAAAAAAAAAGUAUAAAAGAAUUGUAUGGUAUAGUAUUGACAAUACCAGGCACACAACUUAUUGCUUGCAUGAUGUGUGGUAGUAGGGAUACCAGCUCAGUAUACGCUGUAAAACAGCACUGAUUUUCAGCUGAACCCCACUAUUAAUAUAGCACAACAAAUCUUUUUGAGUGUACGGUCAGCUACAGCAUACAUGCAUGCAUGCAUAUGAGUAAAGAUCAUUAAUAUUUCUCCACCUGAAAUACUUUUGUGUAUUAGGUUUUCAGUAUUAUAACUCAAGCGUUGAAGAAAUGGUAUAUUCGAUAUUAAAUUAUAAUCUACGUCAGUGGCCAUUUCUGUUUUCGAGCCUAACAUAAAUAAACACCGUGCUUACAAAGUGAUGCAUCGCAAUUCGAAUAUUGUUAUGUAUGUUGUUUCUCAAGAGAAUAGCAACCGCAGAACAGGGUACCGUUUUCAUAACAUUGUAAUAUAGCCAGUGGAAUUACUAUCUGAUGUUGAGACAGUAUUACGAAGAUAGUGCAACACUACGCGGAGCUUUGUAAUUCAAAAUUUUGUAUGGUGUGUGUAGCUGUUGUUUACGGCCAGACAUGACCGUUUACCAUCGCGCAAGCGAAGUGCUUUUUAGUCAAACGCUGCCUGUCAACUGCAGACAGUCUGGCAUGAGAAUCUACACAGGUAUUAGGUACAUAGUAAUUGCUAUAAUAAUACAUCAUUUUGUACGCACGGAUCGGUUAUUGCUUGACAAAUUAAUGUUUGAUUAUUUGUAUUAUAUUUAUACCACCAAUUAAGAAUGUAAACCGUUGUACCUACAUGUAAGUCUACGUCCAUCGCGCCAAUUAAUUUUUAACCAAAUAUGUGUAUGAAAUUCAUAAUCUCAUGAGGCCAUGACGGUAAGAGCAACCAUUUUAGACGUUUCACCGUAUGCAAUUUUUAUGCAAACUAGGCCAAGCAACCAAAUAUCCAAUAAUAUUGUUUGUAAUAUUAAAAUGUUUAAUGUUUCGCUUAUCCUUUAUCUUUUGAUUUGUGAGGAAAUGUUACCCCCAAAUCAAAUCAAUUAAUAAAUUAUUCGAUUAAGUUGAACCAAUUCAUUAUUAUUUUAUUACUUAACAUGUUUUUUAUAGUUUACAAGAUUUAUGCAACUUUUUAGGUAAAAAUCUAUCAUUUUCUCAACGUAGUUAUCUUGCAAUACAGUCUUUCGUGUUACAGUUGCAAAUCAAUAUAUGUGUUUUUAGGUACAUAUUAUGACAUUCUGGUUGCCAACAUCUGCAACAAGUUUACAGGCUUCUUUUAAUACCGAUAUUUGUAAUCAUAAUAGCUAUUAUUAUUGGAUACUUACAUCGUAGCCUUGCCUAGUCUUGCAACUUGUUAACUUAAACAUGCUUCUAAGUUAUAAUUGAAAUAUUAUAUAAUUGGUACCAAGUGAAAGAGUGCGCGUUGCAUGGCACAAUACACCGAAUUGCUUAUAGUUUAACGCCUAUUAAAGUGAUCUGUACCCAUGACAUUAUGUUAAGUAAUAUUACGGUUAAGUGACAAUAUUAAAAAAUUGAAGUUAUUAAAAUUAAAUCAUAGUAUUUUUGAGAUACUAGCAAUUAAUCAUGUAUUUGUUAUAUAUCAAUACAUAUUUAAUUGCAAUCUUUUUACCAUUACAUAAAACCAAGAAUGGUUUACAAUAAAUUCAUUCAAAGCUUAUUUUUAUUUAUUACGUUGAGCCCCAGUGACAGUUUUGUUAAUUUAACAUUAUAACUUGCGCGUAACUAUAAUUAUUUGUGCUAGUUGUAAGUAGCAAUCAGUUUCGAUAAUUUUUGAUUAUUCUUAUCGAAUCAAAAAUUUACAACUUCAGUAGUAAAGAUGACUUUUAUUUUAUGACUUAUUAAAUUAACUCAUUUUGCACCGAAUAUAAAGUGUAUAAACAAUUUUCUUUAUUUUAUAAUUUUAAUGUUCGCACAGCUUUAUGGACGUUAAAAAAUGUAAUAAAAUAUUUAAAGCAAAUUAAGUUAUACAAGUGCCAGGUCAAUAUAAAGUGUUUGCAAUUUUUUUAUAUACUUAUUUAAGCAAUUAACACGCACCGACCUAUCAUACCACCUACGCUAAGAAUAUCUAUUGUUUUAAGGCCUAAGUAAUCUAAUAUUUAAGUAGAUACCUAUUUUCAUCACACAGUGAAACACUUGCUCAUUUAAUUUAUACCUAGUCGAAUCGGCAUAUUCUAUUAAGUGUAGAACUAAUUUCUUAUUUGAAAAAACGUUUGAAUGCUUAAAUGUAACGAAACAACUGUAUCUAUUCCCGUCAUGUCUGAAUGAAUAAAUUUUUCAUUUAAAAUA
rnacentral:misc_RNA from 1 species